GCAUCAGUGAAAGGAUUAUGGUAGGAUAAUUUAGAGACAAUACCAUUACGAGCUCAGUUUUGAGCUAAUGUGAGUUUAGGUCAUUAUAAAAUAUCUUUCAUAGCAUUCCAUGUCCUUGGGCAUGGUUCAACAUAAAUGCUUGAAAGGUUAACAUAGGAAUUCCAUCAUUGGGCCCAAAGAAAUAAGAAAAUGGAUUUAAAUUGGAUUACAAUCCUGAUUGAGUCAUGGUGGUUUGUGAAUGUGCUUAGGCACUUAAAAUGUGUUCCAGUCAGACCCCUAGGUUAAAUAUGUAUAGUAGUCAAUUCAAACUGCCUUUAGUGAAGGAAAGUGGUGAGAAUGUCAGGCUCCGUAUUCUAUACCAGGGAGCUUGCUCUCUAAUGAAAUGCUCAGUAACUGAAAGAUCAGUUAUCUCAUUAUCCUCAUUACUGUAUUCACAAACAUCCAAGUUGUAAUUGCUGUGUAAAUAAUUCUGGAAUCAAGCCUGGGGCCUCACACAUUAGACAAAGUGCUCUAUGGCUGAGCUAAUUUUCAGCCCACAAUAACAGUCAUGCUGUGUCCAGUUCCUGUCUUGGUUCUGAUAGGUAGCACAGCUUUGGAAACACAGCUCCGUGUUAGCUUGUGGGUGGCAUGGAUGAAAAGCUGCCUCUUCCCUUUCAUCUUGAUAAAUCUGGAUGGGAUUCAUAUUGGUCCUAUGGAACAUAAAGUCUUAAAACCGUAUUUUUGAGACUGUUGUCAUCACUGAGAGGGUUUUUUUUUUGUUGUUGUUAUUUUUGUUCUGUAUAUGUACAAGUAAGGUAGUCAGAAGCCAGUUAGACAGUUGUGAGCUGCCAUGUGUGAAAUGAAAGGGUCCUCUGGAAGAGUAGUCAGUGCUCUUAACUGCUGAGCCAUUUGUCUAGCCCCAAGUGUUUUUAGUUUUAACUAGCCUAGUAUUUCUAGCUAAUAGAUGGUUAUUUGAUUUUGGAUAAGCACUCUUUUAUACACAAGCUAAUAUUGAGGACCAUACUCAGAAAAGAACCUCAGAAACUAAAGAAUUUCUAAAAUGUUGAGCAGUGUCACUUAUUAAUUAGCAAGUGAAAGAAACACUAGAAGAGCCGUAUUAUAAAGUUUUUAAUAAAAUUCCCAUUAUUUAUUUCUCCAUUCCUUAAAAACAAAGCCCCGUCUGCUGGUCCCACUUCAAAGCACUGCACUAACAGGGCAGCUUGUUCAUCCUGCAAGCUGGUCUAUGUUCUCUUCACUUCUGCUUGCCAGAUGAUCUUCAAUAAUUUUUGCAAACAGAUCCCUCUUCAAUAGAUUAUACGCAAGAGGUAAAAGCUGACCAGCAACUUUGUGAAAAUACUAAAAAGCAAAGAACAUAACAUCAGGGUGAGAAAAUGGCAGGUACAGCUGAAAAAUACAUGGGAACACACCUGUGCAACAAAGUCCACCCAGUUGGCCCUAAACAUGGGCCAUGUCCCUGCUCUUCUGCCCUAAAGACAACUGUUCACCAAGUCCUGAAAGGAGCUCAGAGGCAUUACAAAUUGAAGUUUCUCAUGGUCCAUUAAUUUUAUCAACAUUUUUGUCCCAAAGUUCCAUUAAAUGCUUUCUUCUUAACUAUUUGUAUUAGUUAAGACUUUUUAAUAGACCUUGUAAUAGGUAUGACAAAUAUGAGGUUACAAAUCUCUUCAUCAUUUUUUAAACAAUUUUACAUAUGUCUUUUACCUAAAUGUGCACCACAUAUUUGACUUGUGAGUGCCUGUGGAUGCUUAUAAUAGAACUGGGUCCCUCUGGGUGUUCUACCCCACGGAGCCAUCUCUCCAGCUCCUCCCCUUUAGUCUCAGCUCAUUCUCUACCAUGUAAGCAUUUCUUUCCUGCUUAGAGUUCAGGCUCAGGUUUACUGAAUGGUUUCACAGCAUUGCUUUUACAUACACCCUAGCAGGAAACCCGGUAACAUUCUUUUGUGAGAACUAGCAUUUAUUUAAGCACGUAUUCAGUGUACCACAUCUUUUCAUUUCUCAUGUAAUUUUUUUUUUUUAAUACCUACUUCAUCAAUGGCAUUUAUGGUUAGGUCCUUUGUGACAACUAUAUCAUUCUGCUUGUGUAACACUUUGGACACUUUUUACUGAUAACUAGAAGCCAGGAAGAAAGGGGCCAUAUGAUGCUUUAAACAGGGGUCUCAGUCAGGGUUCUUGACCAGUCGGAUCAGUUUGUCAGGAACCACCCUGUAAUUCAAAGUGGGGGACAAGGAAACACUAACCUGUGAUCAAAGCCGUCUCGUCUGGAUGACUGAUGCAUGCUGGCUUAGUCUUGCUCCUCAGGAUAGUCUAUAAAGUGGUGGCAUUCUUGCCACAUGGCAAUGUUAAUGACAGCAGGGCCACACCUCUGACCUACUCAUAUAGUUUGCAUUAAUACUAACUACGGUGGCUCCCAAGCAUCUGCAGUUUGUGAAUCCUUUACUUAGACACUGGAAUGGGGCUGCCAUUGGGAGCCUGGAGAUGGUGCCCUAGCAGUGGCUUACCAAAGGUACAGUGAGGAGCAUGCAUGUGCCCAUGAGAAGGCAAUUUUACAGGUGGGAAAGGGUCAAUGAUAGACUACUAGCUCCAAUAUUUUAAUUAAAAUACUUGAAAACAGUAUUUAAGACGUGGUAGUAGAUGACACCCACCCC
rnacentral:lncRNA from 1 species